rnacentral:rRNA from 1 species
CUACGGGGGGCAGCAGUGGGGAAUAUUGCACAAUGGGCGCAAGCCUGAUGCAGCAACGCCGCGUGAGGGAUGAAGGCCUUCGGGUUGUAAACCUCUUUUAGCAGAGAAGAAGCGAAAGUGACGGUACCUGCAGAAAAAGCACCGGCUAACUACGUGCCAGCAGCCGCGGUAAUACGUAGGGUGCAAGCGUUGUCCGGAAUUAUUGGGCGUAAAGAGCUCGUAGGCGGUUUGUCACGUCUGCUGUGAAAAUCCAAGGCUCAACCUUGGACUUGCAGUGGGUACGGGCAGGCUAGAGUGCGGUAGGGGAGAUGGGAAUUCCUGGUGUAGCGGUGGAAUGCGCAGAUAUCAGGAGGAACACCAAUGGCGAAGGCACAUCUCUGGGCCGUAACUGACGCUGAGGAGCGAAAGCGUGGGGAGCGAACAGGAUUAGAUACCCGGGUGGUC